rnacentral:lncRNA from 1 species
UAACCAGAAAGAUACUAUCGGAAAAGGUUUUCCACCGGCGCUUCCUGAUAUUCCUGCGCCGUUCUUGCCGCCGAUCGGUGGAGGUAUUUUACCUCCUCUUCCGGUGCCGGAUGUACCCAUGCCACCUCUAAUUCCCCCGCUACCACAGCUCCCUGGUAUUCCACUUCCACCUGUUACCCGCCAAAAAUCAUCGGAAUCCGAUAGAUUGGCCGAUCAAAAAAGUUUUGGUUUCCCGUUUCCACCGCCACUGUUCCCACCGCUGCCGUUUGUGCCAUCGCCGCCGUCAUUGAUUCCUCCCGUCAUUCCAACACCACCACCGUCACUGUUCCCUCCCCUCGUUCCAUCAACACCACCAUCAUUGUUUCCUCCCCUCGUUCCAUCACCACCAUCAUCGAUGUUUCCACCAUUGCCCUUUCCACCUGUACCAGGUUUGAUUCCAUCACCGCCGCCGCCACCACCGCCGGCGUUCCCAAUUCCUCUGCCUCCACUACCUCCGCUACCUCCGCUACCUCCAGUACCUCCGGUACCAGGAGUCCCACCGGCGAAAACCUCCCCUUGAUUAAACUCGUAUAUAUUUAAUAUUAUUACUGCAUAACCUUUUGAAGUAACCUUUCCAUACAUACGCGCGUAUUACAAUUAUGGGUAUUGUAAUUGUAGCAUGAAUAAAUCGUACAUGGUAAAAUGGUUGGGAUUC